UUUCCGUAGGUGAACCUGCGGAAGGAUCAUUAUCGAACACACACACGAGAGAGGGGACUGUCGCUGGCUUCGGCAUGUGCACGUUCUCUUCUCACCUCACCCUUACACUUGUGCACCUUCUGUAGGCCCUCGAAAGAGGAUCUACGUCUUCCAUUCACACCGAUCGCAUGUCCAUAGAAUGUCAUAAUCAAAUAUACAACUUUCAGCAACGGAUCUCUUGGCUCUC
rnacentral:misc_RNA from 1 species